GAUGAACGCUGGCGGCGUGCUUAACACAUGCAAGUCGAACGAUGAAGCCCAGCUUGCUGGGUGGAUUAGUGGCGAACGGGUGAGUAACACGUGAGUAACCUGCCCUUAACUCUGGGAUAAGCCUGGGAAACUGGGUCUAAUACCGGCUAGGAGCGUCCACCGCAUGGUGGGUGUUGGAAAGAUUUAUCGGUUUUGGAUGGACUCUCGGCCUAUCAGCUUGUUGGUGAGGUAAUGGCUCACCAAGGCGACGACGGGUAGCCGGACUGAGAGGGUGACCGGCCCCACUGGGACUGAGACACGGCCCAGACGCCUACGGGAGGCAGCAGUGGGGAAUAUUGCACAAUGGGCGCAAGCCUGAUGCAGCGACGCCGCGUGGGGGAUGACGGCCUUCGGGUUGUAAACCUCUUUCAGUAGGGAAGAAGCGAAAGGGACGGUACCUGCAGAAGAAGCACCGGCUAACUACGG
rnacentral:rRNA from 1 species